GUGUGAUUCAGUGGUAGAGUAGUUGCCUGGCAUGUAAGAGGCCCUGGAUUCAAUUCCAGCAC
rnacentral:tRNA from 1 species